GAUGAAGAACGUAGCGAAAUGCGAUAAGUAAUGUGAAUUGCAGAAUUCAGUGAAUCAUCGAAUCUUUGAACGCACAUUGCGCCCGUCAGUAUUCUGGCGGGCAUGCCUGUUCGAGCGUCAUUACGCCCCUCAAGUCCCCUGUGGACUUGGUGUUGGGGAUCGGCGAGGCUGGUUUUCCAGCACAGCCGUCCCUUAAAUUAAUUGGCGGUCUCGCCGUGGCCCUCCUCUGCGCAGUAGUAAAACACUCGCAACAGGAGCCCGGCGCGGUCCACUGCCGUAAAACCCCCCAACUUUUUAUAGUUGACCUCGAAUCAAGUAGGACUACCCGCUGAACUUGAGCAUAUCAAUAAGCGGAGGA
rnacentral:misc_RNA from 1 species